ensembl:lncRNA LINC02207 long intergenic non-protein coding RNA 2207
AUGGAAUAGCCAAUUACUCCUAGGCUACAAACCUGUACAGUCUGUUACUGUACUGAAUACUGUAGGCAAUUGUAACACAAUGGUACUUGUGUAUCUAAACAUAGAAAGGUACGGUAAAAAUAUGCUAUAAAAUAUAAAAAAUGGCAUACUUGUGUAGGGCACUUACCAUGAAUGGAGCUUGCAGGACUGGAAGUUGCGCUGGAAAACAUCGCCCAUUUCAUCUGUUUCUUCAGUCCCCAGAUAGCAGAUGACUGGUAGGAAGAUGAGGCAAGUUUGCGGUCCAUUGUCAUGGAUAGUGGAGACAACACUGGGCCAGAAGUGGUAAGACCUGAAUCCAAGACUCAGCUCUGCCACUUGCUAAAUGGGACUUUGAAUAAACCAUUUCUCUGCACUUAAGUUCCUUACCAACAAAACGAGGGAAGUGGCCUACAUGCCUAGAUAUCAACAUUUCAUGUCACGUAGAGAUCUAGCAUCACAAGAAUCCAAGUCAUCCUCUGUUGCCUUUAAGAAAUUAGAAUUAAAGGAAUCAGAAUUGAAGUGAAUCUGACUACACUAAGCCUAUCACUUGUGACAGCCAUGGGAAGAUAUCAUUGGUUGCUGAGGAGCAGAAAUAAGCAGAGACCUAUUGUGUUAGGUUAUCAUUCAUUUCAGACAAAAAGCAGAUCAGCAAGUUUUCAUAUUGCACUAUUUUCAAUGGCUGGAGCAUCAACAUUUUACAACAAGAAAAAAAUUAAAAUUCUUCAACAUUUGGAAAAGAAGUGUUUGUAAAACUUUUCACAUCCAUUCACCAUCCGGAAAAGCAAGGUUUUACAGUGAGGCCUGAUGAUGUCUAGAGUCACCAUGCAUCUUGGAAAAUGACCUCCUAUUUAUUUCUUCUACAGGACACCAUGGUGUUCACCUUUCUACAACUUUACACUUGCUGAGGACAUAUUGUGGAAAAUUAAGAGAAAUAUAUAUGGAUGGCCAAGGC